CUUGAAGGUUCAUAAGGGAAAAUAUGGUCAGAUUCAUUUGAUUGCAUCCCUCACUGCUGGUUUGAGUCGCUAUCAUGGUGACUUUGCUGUUGCUGUUGUUGAUUAGAUUCACAGGCAAGCUUGCUAGUUGCUACUUAUGCUCAAAAGAGAUACAAGAAGCCUCUAAUGCUGCAGCUAUCGUUUCGUGUAAUACGGGAACACCUUCCCCAGUAAUAUUACAUUGGUUUUUAUUCUUGAUUCACGUAUUUAACAGUAGAUUAGAUAAUGCUAGUGAUGCCUGAGUUACCUUACCCCGUGGACUUUAUUUUCAGGUUCCAUUUAGAACUAGAUCUUAUUGUGAUGGCUUAAAACCUUAAAUAGGUGGUUGUAGAUUUUGUUGGCAGGCUUGUUAAUAAUUGCCAGCUUGAAGGGUCAGAUGGGCACCUUAUGGUUGAAAAAUGAUACCACUAUUUUUUGUACUCCGUUUGUCAAAUUUAUAUAUCAAUUUAUAAAGAGGAACACUAGUGGGUCCUACAAAA